rnacentral:rRNA from 1 species
UACGUAGGGUGCAAUCGUUGUCCGGAUUUAUUGGGUUUAAAGGGUGCGUAGGUGGCUGAUUAAGUCAUGGGUGAAAGCCCGCAGCUCAACUGUGGAAUUGCCUGUGAUACUGAUUAGCUUGAGUGCGGUUGAGGCAGCUGGAAUUGGUGGUGUAACGGUGAAAUGCAUAGAUACCACCAGGAACACCGAUUGCGAAGGCAGGUUGCUAAGCCGUAACUGACACUGAGGCACGAAAGCGUGGGGAGGAAACAGG